rnacentral:lncRNA from 1 species
UAUGUUGUAAGUUCAAUAAUCUUUUUUUUUUGAGAAUCGGUAGCACGCUACUUGCUUCAUUCAUUGAAUAAGUGAAUUAGACUACAGAGGUGAGGCAACCAUGGCCCCAAAUAGAGAGAAAAAAAAAAUCAUAGGUUGUCUUUCCAAGAAUCAAUCAAAAACUUGAGCCUACGCAUCGCUAAUAUGGGGUCAAACUGGAUGUCACGAAAGAUAAGGUUGUUCCUCGCCUUCCAAAUGAUCUACCAACAUGCGGCCAAUUCAGAUAGACCAUCCCUUCUACUUUGUCCACCAUCCCUUCCCCUUCACCUUUUUCGGACAAUAUGUACAUCGUCACCCAGCUCUCUCGGCUGAACGUAAGUACAAUAAUCUUAAAAACAC